GGAUAGCUAGUUGAGUGUCCCCUUCCUCCCUCACAGCUCCAUGUACGUCCCUCUCAAAGCUGUGUACUUGGGUGAAGAGGGCGACCUUCCCUGCUAGAGGAGGACUGUUCUUCAGUCCAGGGUAUACAAGUAGCUGUGCUCACCUGCUAGAACCUCGAAACAAGUUCUCUAACUAAAAUUUUGACAAUUUUAUUUCUUUUUCAAAUAAUCACGUUUUAGCUUUGUUGAUU
rnacentral:sRNA from 1 species